CCAAUAGCGUAUAUUAAAGUUGUUGCAGUUAAAAAGCUCGUAGUUGAAUUUUGGGUCUGGCCGGGCGGUCCGUCCUCUGGAUGAGUACUGUUCCGACGUCGGGCCUAUCCUUCUGGUGAGUCGGCAUGCCCUUUAUUGGGUGCGUCGGGGAACCAGGACCAUUACCUUGAAAAAAUUAGAGUGUUCAAAGCAGGCUUUUGCUCGAAUACAUUAGCAUGGAAUAAUGAAAUAGGACGCGUGGUGCUAUUUUGUUGGUUUCUAGAACCGCCGUAAUGAUUAAUAGGGAUAGUUGGGGGCAUUAGUAUUCAAUUGUCAGAGGUGAAAUUCUUGGAUUUACUGAAGACUAACUUCUGCGAAAGCAUUUGCCAAGGAUGUUUUCAUUAAUCAAGAACGAAAGUUAGGGGAUCGAAGACGAUCAGAUACCGUCGUAGUCUUAACCAUAAACUAUGCCGACUAGGAAUCGGGCGAUGUUAUUCUCACGACUCGCCCGGCGCCUUAUG
rnacentral:rRNA from 1 species